AGGUUACUGCUAUCGGUGUUCGCCUAAGCCAUGCGAGUCAUAUGUUCUUCGUGAACAUGGCGUACUGCUCAGCAACACGUGGAUAACCUGCCCUUGGGUCCGGCAUAACCCCGGGAAACUGGGGAUAAUUCCGGAUAACGCACAUAUGCUGGAAUGCUUUAUGCGUCAAAUGGAUUCGUCCGCCCAAGGAUGGGUCUGCGGCCUAUCAGGUAGUAGUGGGUGUAAUGUACCUACUAGCCUACGACGGGUACGGGUUGUGAGAGCAAGAGCCCGGAGAUGGAUUCUGAGACAUGAAUCCAGGCCCUACGGGGCGCAGCAGGCGCGAAAACUUUACAAUGCGGGAAACCGUGAUAAGGGGACACCGAGUGCCAGCAUCAUAUGCUGGCUGUCCGGGUGUGUAAAAUACACCUGUUAGCAAGGGCCGGGCAAGACCGGUGCCAGCCGCCGCGGUAACACCGGCGGCCCGAGUGGUGAUCGUGAUUAUUGGGUCUAAAGGGUCCGUAGCCGGUUUGGUCAGUCCUCCGGGAAAUCUGACGGCUUAACCGUUAGGCUUUCGGGGGAUACUGCCAGACUUGGAACCGGGAGAGGUAAGAGGUACUACAGGGGUAGGAGUGAAAUCUUGUAAUCCCUGUGGGACCACCUGUGGCGAAGGCGUCUUACCAGAACGGGUUCGACGGUGAGGGACGAAAGCUGGGGGCACGAACCGGAUUAGAUACCCGGGUAGUCCCAGCCGUAAACGAUGCUCGCUAGGUGUCAGGCAUGGCGCGACCGUGUCUGGUGCCGCAGGGAAGCCGUGAAGCGAGCCACCUGGGAAGUACGGCCGCAAGGCUGAAACUUAA
rnacentral:rRNA from 1 species